rnacentral:rRNA from 1 species
AUGUCUGGAUGCGUCGUCCGGAGGGGGCCACUGUCCGAGUUCUCCUCCCUCGCCGUCCGGAACAGGAUCGAGGCUGAGGAAGGGAAGGAUGUCCACUCCCUCGCCGUCCAGCACGGCCUGAAUUCUGAGCCAAGGGAGCUCUCUCUCGCCGUAAAGGUCGGGCUGGAGGCGGAUGUGGCCUUGGGGGAUGCGUUCCCGGCCGAGGCGGCCGAAGGAGAGAUACAUGCUCUUCUACUCGAGCAGCUGCUCGCCUCAUUUGAUAGGCGACGCAAGGACCCUGAACUAUAUGAAUGGCAGCACCCCUGUUAUUCAGUCAGCGAAAGGAAGAAGAUAAACCCAAAGUGCCCCUUCUUUCUCUUCAAGAUGAAGGCGUCAGCCAGGAAAGCCCAAGUAUCAUGGUGGCAGAAGCAAUACACCCGCUUCCCUCCGGAGCGGGCAGGGUACGUAUACGCUAUGCGCGUCGCACGCCUGAUUACCGGACCAGACGGACUUCAUCUGGAGCAGGCAGGGGAGGGUGGGCAGCCCGGUGCGCUCUCCUUCCAAAUCGACGACACAUACAUGGGGCGACCAUGGCGCAAAGAUGGUGUCUUCGAGGAGGGCUCCUCUGUGCGGCUAAGGGAAGUCGCCGUUGUCAAGAGGUUACCUAACGGUGAUGGGAUUUCUAUCAUGUCCUAUAUAAAAGGGCUUGGUGUGAAGCUUCAUGACAUUCUCUUUACGUUGCACUGCCCGUCCGCCACCGUGGCCCUGACUUUCACAGAACGAUGGUUCUACGUCUCUUCCAAGUUCACGGAGGAGCCACUAUAUGCCAGUGCUGGUCUUGAUUUCAUUGACAUUACUGUUCCCCUGGAGAAUCUGAUCAAGAAACUUUACCAGAUGUAUGAGCAAGCCGAGCAAGAGAAAAACACCAUGCAUGAGAAACAAGAUCAUGAUGAUACAGAUACAGAGGCGAUGAUGCGGCAGCAAAAUGAGCUAACGAUUCAGGCGGAGGAGCAUGAGAGGAACAAGUUGGAAGACCUGCAGAGGAGAAGGGCUGAGAGCAAGAAACAGAAGCACCGGCGUAAGGAAAUGAAGGAGGCAGCUAAUCGGACCAAGGGGGUAGCAAGAACAGAGGAAGAACAAGAUGAUGCUUACUUUUGCACCUCGACAUUUCCCCUUCUGGAAGAAUCUGAUUGGGGGAGGCCAUCGGAAGAGGAGCUGUGCCAAAGCUAG